AACGUAGGUCACAAGCGUUGUCCGGAAUUACUGGGUGUAAAGGGAGCGCAGGCGGGAAGACAAGUUGGAAGUGAAAUCCAUGGGCUCAACCCAUGAACUGCUUUCAAAACUGUUUUUCUUGAGUAGUGCAGAGGUAGGCGGAAUUCCCGGUGUAGCGGUGGAAUGCGUAGAUAUCGGGAGGAACACCAGUGGCGAAGGCGGCCUACUGGGCACCAACUGACGCUGAGGCUCGAAAGUGUGGGUAGCAAACAGGAUUAGAUACCCGCGGCUGACUGACU
rnacentral:rRNA from 1 species